GAAUUUAAUUGAAUUUAUUUUUGCUACUUUAUGAUGCCAUUACAAGCAUCUCCUAUGUUUCUCCUGUGUGACGUCCGUACACAAACUGUUCUACCCACGUAGUAUCCAAUAACGGAGUUGAGGGGGAGAGUAGAAAGAAAACGUGUUAGGCAUUUUGAAAUUGCUUCAACGUUUCAUGAGGAGGCAGUUUUUCCCCCCUCAGAGAAUAAAGACAGAGACAAGGAACAUGAGUAGGGCAACAGAGACAGGGACAGAGAUAGAGAUAGGGAUAGACACAGUGAAAGGGACAGAGACAGAGACAUUGACAGAGACAUGGACAGAGACAGGGACAAGGACCGAGAGAGAGAUGGACUGAGACAGAGACAUUGACAAAUACAUAGACAGGGACAGGGACAGAGAGAGAUGGACAGAGACAGAGACAGGGAUAGAGACAUGGACAGAGAGAUAGGGAUAGACACAGUGAAAGGGACAGAGACAGAGACAUUGACAGAGACAUGGACAGAGACAGGGACAAGGACCGAGAGAGAGAUGGACUGAGACAGAGACAUUGACAAAUACAUAGACAGGGACAGGGACAGAGAGAGAUGGACAGAGACAGGGAUAGAGACAUGGACAGAGAGACAGGGACAGACAGGGACAGAGACAGAGAGAUGGACAGAGACAGGGACAGAGACAGGGAUAGAGACAUGGACAGAGAGACAGAGACAGGGACAGAGACAGGGACAGAGACAGAGAGAUGGACAGAGACAGAGACAGGGAUAGAGACAUGGACAGGGACAGAGACAGGGACAGAGACAGAAACAGAGACUUGAACAGAGACAGAGACAGGGACAUGGACAGAGAACGUGAGUAGGGCAACAGAGACAGAACAGAGCUUGAGUAAAUAUCUCCCCAUCGUGGCGGUGGGAGGUUUGGCCCCCCAACUUCAUGUCUCCUCACAAGCAGUUUUUGGUGGAUUUGAGAACUGUAGCCUACAUCUUUUUUCUAUAAAAUACUAUGCAAUUAGUGAAGGGUGACACUUUACAUUUCAGAUUCCCCGUUGAACAUACUUUUCAUGGGAAACCGGCCCUUAGUGUACUUUCAAUAUCCUGUCAGUAGUCAUCUCUGGUAGAUGUUUGUCAAACAACGAGGGUUAUAAUUCAGCCAGUAGGUUAAUGUGUUCAGUCAUCAGUCAAACAACGAGGGUUAUAAUUCAGCCAGUAGGUUAAUGUGUUCAGUCAUCAGUCAAACAACGAGGGUUAUAAUUCAGCCAGUAGGUUAAUGUGUUCAGUCAUCAGUCUAUGGUGUUCCUGUAUGUGCAGCUACAGCAGGAUGUGGUUAACACCCAGGUCGGCUUCACUCCACACCCCAGUCGGUUACACACAAGCUCCCUAGGUGUCUCGCCUGCUUCCUACUGCCUGUGAAACCAGGAAGUUGUGUUGGUGCUAGGACGACGAGGACCGGGAAUGCUGAUCUUGUUCUCUCUCCGCCCGC
rnacentral:lncRNA from 1 species